CCAGACCUACAUAACAGAGAGACCCUGCCUCAAAUCAAAACAAAACAAAUAAACAACAGAAACAAGAAAGAAAAAACUAAGUCACUGUCGUGUAUCUGUAGUUAAAAACAUGGGUGCUACUCUGACCACCUUAGCACACUGUGUACCAGACACAAAUGCCAUGCCCUUUCUUGUGUCUGUCCUGCUUUGGCUUACUGUAAGUCCUUGGAAUAGUCAACAAGAUUCAAUUAGUUUUCAAUGAAUAAUACAGACUGUUCCACUCACAAACUCUGUACUAAAUAGUGGAAGUGGAAUUCAGAGCAAUCAUUUUGUCCAGGUUCUCAAAGCAACAGAAUGGGAGUUAGAAGCAUGGAGCUAUGACGCCUUCUGUUUAGAAAGGAGGAAGAAGACUGGAAUGAAGAUGGUCACUCUUCUAGUAGUUUGCACAAAAGGUGGUCUUUGUGGAAUGGGCUCAGAAGGACUCAGAAUGGAGCAGAGGGGCCUCAAGUGACAGCACUCAGAAUUCAGACCCACUGGCUGCUGGGAAACCACUUGAUCAAGAGUCUCCAGGAUUUUUGUUUUCGUUUUGUUUCCUACCAUUGGUAUGCUUUUAAGAAAAUAUGUUAAUAGGUUAGAUAUCAAAUAUGAACCAAAUAAGCUUCAGCCAUCAUAGGUGAAGCCAAGUUCUGAGUCAGUAGAAAAAACAGAUUAUCAGGAAAUUUGGACAUCUUGAUAAUUCCACAUAUUUCUUCAAGUUCCUUAUUAUCAAGAUAUUUUUAUUAACUUUUCACUCAAAUCUGUGAGUUUUAAGAUCAACAUACCGACCCACUAAUUUAUUCUAGACUCAAAACUUCGACAACAUGCUCAAAUGUGCUAAGAAGGUGUUAGCAUUGAAACCGCAACAAAAUUCUCACCUCUGAACAGAGCACACAGUGACUUAUUUAGAGCUCUACAAAAAUCCUUUUACCUCACUUAAGCUUUCCACAGAACACAGACUGCAUAUGAAAAAGCAGAAGAAAGAGCCUCAAAUUCUCUCUUUCACAAAAGGGUUGAUUUGCACAGGGAUAACAUUCAGUAAUAAUGUGUAUUAUGGCCAUAAAGACAUUUUUUUAACUAUGUCUAGGGCUUGAGAGGUGAACUCAGUGUUUAGGAGCAUUUGCUGCUCUUCCGGAGGACCUGAGUUCUGUUCCCAGCAACAAUGUCCCGGGGCUGACAGUGUCCUCCAUGGCACUUGCACCCAUGUUGUAGACCACCAUGAAGACACAUACUUAAACAAAAUUAAAGAAAAGAAAAACUGUCUAUAAAAUCAAGGACUUUUAAAAAUUAUCCUCAUAAUUUUCAAUUACAGUUUUAUUUAAGUAUUUGGAAAAUUUUGCCAUUAUUUUAUAACUCUUCGGUUUUAUUUGUACCCUGAGUACGUGGACUAAAUAAAGAAGUGAUCUUAAAAGACAUUCUAGGAGGAACACAUGCCAGCUGCAAAUGAAAGACAACAGCCAAAAGUAAAUAGAUCUGGAAGCCUGAUGGAGCAAGUGGAUCUGAACGCUGAUGACUCCUGCAGGGCGUCUACACAAGUGAGAUGUAAGGCCUUAGGUCAGGUAUUGCAUCAGCAAACUUCAAGGUGCAGGUGGUGAGAAGACACAGGAGAAAGUAUUUUUAGAAGAUUGCUAUUUAAUGCCAUUCAACUCCUGCCAAGCAUCAUUUCUGUAUGACUACCACAAAAGGAUUACUUUACAGAAACAGCUGCCUUUUUGGAGAGUGUGAUUUGGACCCUGAUUCAGAAAACAGAAUUAGACUCAGCCUGUAAAUGCAGGAUGGUGGAGCAUCCGACACCAGAAAGCAGGAAUCUGAGUUCCAGCUCUGCUGAUUCAAGCUGAAUGGCUUGUCUGAAGCUUUCAUUGUCUCAGGUUCAACAAACAGUAGAAAAACAAAUCAGAAUACCUAGGUUGGUGACUCACUGUGGAGUGCAGUAGGGUAUCCAGAGAUCUAUAAACCUCACACCCUGUAGAGUUUAUAAAAGUAAAGCACUUUAGCUGCAAAUAAUGGAUAAGAGAAAUCAAAAUCCAAUCCUUCAAUUGAACUUCAGAAAAACAUACUUGUCUUAAAAGUUAAGAAAGAGUCUCUGUCAAAUUAUUGGGGAGGUAAAACCAGAGUGAGUGAAACAAUUAUGAAGAAUGCUUUCAGUGCAGUGUUUACUUGCAAGUUUAAAUGUUUAAGUAAGAAACCAGGGCUGCAGCCAGGCCUAGUCGCAUGUGCCUGCAAUUCUAACCUCCAAGAGGUAGAAACCGAACAAUCAUGAGGAAUUCAAGGACAAGCUCAACUAUUUGAAACCUCAUCAGGUAGACAGAUUAGAUAGAUAGAUAGAUAGAUAGAUAGAUAGAUAGAUAGAUAGAUAGAUAGACAGACAGAUAGAUGGG